UGGUAUGUGUGGCCAACUGGUAACGCUUGUCGGUGACAACCGGGUCCUCUCUUGUAUAUGCUUGUAUAUUGCAAAUAACAAUAAAUAAAAACCAGAACAAUAAUAUUAUAAAUAAGUGAAAUGUCAUGGAUAAUUAGUAUAAAGUGGCAAUGAUAUCGUGUUAAAGUGUAGUUAAUAAAAAAUCAUAAAUAAUCAAAUAUUUCACAUCAAUAAUUUGCUGGAAAAGGAAAAAAAGUGACGUCUAUGUUUCGGCGAGACAAGACGAGGCCACAUUGCCACAAAGGGCCACACCUAUGUGUCAACCCCAUUGGCUGCCACACCUCAUAAAAACCUGUGUACCAUCAAAACUUUUGUGUA